rnacentral:lncRNA from 1 species
GCCCAGCUCAGUUCCUCAUUUUAUAGGUAAUGUUUAAGAGAAAUGACCCUCUCCUACUUUCAGCAAGGAGGUGCACAUAGCAUAGACCCAUAGAAGAGGAGGGAUCUGAGAAGGAGUUUGAAAAAAGCGUUGGAGAGGCUGUGAGAAAACAAGGCAGGUGUCCUGGCUGAGGGCAGGAAGGAGACAUUGUGAUGGAAAUUGGGCCCCGCUGUCUUGGAGGAUUGGGAAGAGGACCUGUGGACUGGGCGGCCCGCACAACUGCCGUAAACUCAGGCAGUUUCAAGCAGAUUGACCUUCCUGCUGGAACACGGCAGAUGAGGGUUGCUUGGCCUUGCCUCCGCCAUGCCUGACACUGGCUCUCUGCUGGGAGGAAAAAGCUUGCUCUGUUGCUGGCUGUGUGGAACAGAGAGGGAAGUGGCAGACAGUCUGGGGCCAGCACUUGGGUAUCUUGCUGUAGCCAUGUGACUCAUCUCUCCAGUUCAGAUCUCCCCCUGGAAAAAAGAGCCCAGACCUCAUCACGAAUGCAUUCCUAGGAGAAAAUGAACAGCUGGAGAAUGCUCCUGAUCAGUAGGCCUGAAGGAUGCUGCGAUGCAGCCUUCAAGAUGGAGCAGCCAGGAUGCCAAGUAUCUGUCUUGCCCAGAUCCUAAGGCACUUUUUCCUACUGAUCCAUAUUGGCCUCAGGAGAUGUCUCAACACAGCACCCCAGCCAAUGGAGUUGCCACAUAAGAUGAACUCGUGAUCAUCUCUAAACUAGAGAGUUAAACUCAACACUAGCAAAUGACUUUGGGUUUAUGCAUAUGUCAUGUUUUCUCUGGCAACUGCACAGAACCAUCUCUAAACAUCACAUCUACGGUUGGCAGGAGUGGCAUGUAUAAUACAAAAUGUCUGGUGGCCCUAUUGUCACAAAACCUGUAUAAAAGUAAAUUCACAAAUGGCUUUUUAGAACUGAUGACAAAAAGUUGCUCGUUAUCACUUUUCUAUUUAAUUUCCUAAAAGGGCAAUUUGAAAUCACACUGGGAUUCUCACAAUUUUGGUUGACAGUCAAGUAAAUUGCAGCUACUUAUCAAGCACUUUUGAAUGAAUACAUGAAGAAUGAAUAAAAUGAAAGCUCUCCUGUUG